UGAGGAAUAUUGGACAAUGGGUGGAAGCCUGAUCCAGCCAUCCCGCGUGAAGGAUGACGGUCCUAUGGAUUGUAAACUUCUUUUGUACAGGGAUAAACCUACCCUCGUGAGGGCAGCUGAAGGUACUGUACGAAUAAGCACCGGCUAACUCCGUGCCAGCAGCCGCGGUAAUACGGAGGGUGCGAGCGUUAUCCGGAUUUAUUGGGUUUAAAGGGUCCGUAGGCGGGCCUGUAAGUCAGUGGUGAAAUCUCAUAGCUUAACUAUGAAACUGCCAUUGAUACUGCAGGCCUUGAGUAAAUUUGAAGUGGCUGGAAUAAGUAGUGUAGCGGUGAAAUGCAUAGAUAUUACUUAGAACACCGAUUGCGAAGGCAGGUCACUAAGAUUUAACUGACGCUGAUGGACGAAAGCGUGGGGAGCGAAC
rnacentral:rRNA from 1 species